AAAAAAGAAAAAAAAAAAAGCAACACGUAGUUGGGGAUGGCCUUGAAGUUCUGAUCCUCUUGACAGCUAGUCAUAAGGAGAUGUACUGACGGCUAGUCAUAGGUGAUUCUGGGGAAUCAAACCCAGAGUCCUGUGUACGCUAGGCAAACGCUACAUAGACAGGGCUCUAUUCCCCAGGGCGCUCUAAGGAAAGCUUAUGAACAAAACACCGGGUUUGCAGGAUAUGGCCUGUGGGCCAUCAGUGGACCACGUGAUCUCCUCCAUGGAUGCAGCCAUGCUCUUCCGGAUGAAGAAAAUGAGGCAGAGGGGGAACGGCACGCAAUGCCCAGAGUGCGAAGCAGUGGAUCCUACGCUCAGACCCAGGCCUCCCCACUCCCCAGCCUAUAAAACAGAGCACAGCUCUCCCUUCCAGAGCCUAGCUAAUUAACAAUAACGGGGCCCAUCCCAGCCAUGGAGGAACCAGGAAGUGCUUCGGGAGCUGCUCCUGAUCCUAGCAUUGUCCAUGGUGCAGAAACAAGGCUGACCGGAACGUGUGCUUCUAAGGAAGGGGUAAAUACGUCUUGGCAGGCAUCUGCUCUCACUGGCUCAGGAAGAAUGCACCAGAAAUGGACCGGACAGUGGGAGGAACGCUCUUUCCCAGGAACCUCUUGACGCAUUUUAAUGGUUGGCUAUGUGAUUAGCAGCUUUUCCUCAAGAAACCCGCCGGCUGCUGGGGCCCCAUUUUGUUUAUUUGCGUUUAACUAUUUCCUCUUCUUCCUCUUGUUUAAGUCUCUAAGUCUGGGACAUAAAAGGGGGUCUGCAGGUGUCCCUGAGGUCCCCACAGAGGAUGGGGGAAGGGAUCCUCAAAGAACCCUACUGUACCGUACUGCUCAUUGGGUCCCUCUGCACAGCUCUGUGAAGCGGUGACACACCCCCCCUCAUUUUUACACGGGAGGAAACUGAGUCAGGAACCGGAUGUUGAGGAAGUUGGCUCAGGGACAGGCCAAGUCCCGGGGCCUCCCCUUCGUCAGCCUACGCUUCUCACCCAGGGCUCUGUGUUCAGUUCAGUUCCUGGCCCAGAAUGGUUUCAGGUUCCUUCCCUGAGUCAGGUGGCCAUUCCGGCCCCUCCAUACCCCACACUCCCGCUGUCCAGCUGGGCUGAGAGCAGCUGGACUUCUUCCUGGAAUGCCCCAGCCGGGGUCUAAGGACCGGCUACCAGCCAGUCAGCCUUUACCAUCCUUAAACCUCUGGCACAGCUUGGGGCUGAGCAGCUCCCAAAGGAGCUAAUAACUGGUGUGUGUCCCUGCCUCCACUGAACAUCCUGCCCAAGUGGGUCCAUAGGCAAAGCAUCCUGGGAAUUCACAGUGUCCCUUGGCCCAGGAAGAGAUAGCUCACCAUCUAACUGACUCUUUUGAUGAAAAGACCAGCAAGGUUAAGAUAUUCGCUUAAAGUCACACAGUAAAGAGGCACAGAGAUAACUGCAGCAGUUUGGAUUUGCUCGUAGAAGAAACAGAAGAAUACAUCUUCACUGGGAAGAUUCUCAAGGGACACCCAUAACUCCUUUGCUUUCUGCCUGCUCCUCCUUUGAUUGGUUCCCAACAGUCACAUUGUGAGGGUUAGUUUUUGCCAACUUGAUACAAACCUAAGCCUAUGGCCCAGCCCACUGUGGUCAGUGCCACUCCUGGACGACUAUAAAAAAUGAGCCUUGGAACAGGCCCGAGCCUCCUUCCACAGCUCCUGCCUCUGUUCCUGCUUGGGUUCCUGCCCUGACUUCCCUCUGUGACAGACUGUGCGAUCCACACGGCUAAGCCAAAUAAAUACUUUCCUCCCCAAGUCGCUUUCAUUCAGGGUGCUGAUCACAGCGACAGAGACAAGCUAGGACUCCUCCCUCUGGAUUUGUCACGGCUCUCUGGAUGACUGCUCUCUGCCUCCUGGGAGGCUUAGGUGAUAUCUGCCUUCGUCACCUCUUAUCUCCAAACACUUUCAACUUUAAAUUCCAGCAUCUGGGAAGCAGAGACAGACAGCUCUCUGUAAUCUUAGGGCCAGUCUGGUCUACAUACCAGGGAUACAUGGUGAGAUCCUGCCUCAAAACAAAGCAAACCAAAAAAAACAAAAACAAAAACAAAAACAAAACAAAAACAAAAACAAAUUUUUAAUUAUAUGUAUAUAUGGGGUCAGAAGUGGGUAUGUGCACAUAAGUGCAGGUACCCUCAGAGGCCAGAAGGGGGCGUCAGAUCCCCUGGAGCUCAAGUUGUGAGCAAUUGAGCAGUUCACUUAUGUCCUGGAAACUGAAUUCAGGUUCUCUGCAAGAGCAGUACAUGGGUUGUUGUUGUUGUUGUUGUUGUUGUUGUUGUUUUGAGACAGAGUCUCACUACGCAGCUCAGGCUGACCCAGCCCUAGCUGUACAUCUUUCCAGGUUCAGGGCCCUUGACCUGGGUUGUCAAUACUGAAGACAGUAGCAGGAAAGAUCAGAACAGCCACAGUGGAUGUUGGAGCGUGCUUGGUCUCAGAUGAAGCCUGGCGAGUCUCCAGCCAGCAUGUGUCCUACAGGGCUGUGGCUUUGUUCCUUGUAAAGGAAGACAACAAUGACCCCUCCUG
rnacentral:lncRNA from 1 species